GGGGAAUAUUGCGCAAUGGGGGAAACCCUGACGCAGCAACGCCGCGUGGAGGAUGAAGGCCUUCGGGUCGUAAACUCCUGUCUUCGCUGACGAAAAAAAUGACGGUAAGCGAGGAGGAAGCCACGGCUAACUACGUGCCAGCAGCCGCGGUAAUACGUAGGUGGCGAGCGUUGUCCGGAAUUACUGGGCGUAAAGGGUGCGUAGGCGGUAAGAUAAGUCAGAUGUGAAAUUCCGGGGCUUAACCUCGGAAUUGCAUUUGAAACUGUGUUACUAGAGUGCAGGAGAGGAAAGCGGAAUUCCUAGUGUAGCGGUGAAAUGCGUAGAUAUUAGGAAGAACACCAGUGGCGAAGGCGGCUUUCUGGACUGUAACUGACGCUGAUGCACGAAAGCGUGGGGAGCAAAC
rnacentral:rRNA from 1 species